rnacentral:rRNA from 1 species
GGAAGUCGGGUGCCGGCGGCCGGGGGAAUACCCGCACCCCGAGUGGUCGGGAAGUUGAUUGGGCCUAAAGCAUCCGUAGGCGGUUCUACAAGUCUUCCGGUAAAUCCAACUGCGUAACAGGUGGGCUGCGGAAGAUACUAUGGAGCUAGGAGGCGGGAGAGGCAAGCGGUACUCGAUGGGUAGGGGUAAAAUCCGUUGAUCCAUUGAAGACCACCAGUGGCGAAGGCGGCUUGCCAGAACGCGCUCGACGGUGAGGGAUGAAAGCUGGGGGAGCAAACCGGAUUAGAUACCCUUGUAGUC